rnacentral:rRNA from 1 species
UACGGGGGGGGCAAGCGUUGUUCGGAAUUACUGGGCGUAAAGGGCUCGUAGGCGGCCAACUAAGUCGGAUGUGAAAUCCCCAGGCUCAACCUGGGAACUGCAUCCGAUACUGGAUGGCUUGAAUCCGGGAGAGGGAUGCAGAAUUCCAGGUGUAGCGGUGAAAUGCGUAGAUAUCGAGAGGAACACCUGCGGCGAAGGCGGGUUGCUGGGCUGACACUGACGCUGAGGCGCGAAAGCUAGGGGAGCGAACGGG